rnacentral:rRNA from 1 species
UACGUAGGGACCAAGCGUUGUUCGGAUUUACUGGGCGUAAAGGGCGCGUAGGCGGCAAUUCAAGUCAGUUGUGAAAUCUCCGAGCUUAACUCGGAACGGUCAACUAAUACUGCUUUGCUAGAGUACAGAAGGGGCAAUCGGAAUUCUUGGUGUAGCGGUGAAAUGCGUAGAUAUCAAGAGGAACACCUGAGGUGAAGACGGGUUGCUGGCUGAUACUGACGCUGAGGCGCGAAAGCUAGGGUAGCAAACGGG